GGAUCCAGACUUUGAUUCUGGCUCAGGAUGAACGCUAGCGACAGGCUUAACACAUGCAAGUCGAGGGGCAGCGAGGGAGUGGCAACACUUCUGUCGGCGACCGGCGCACGGGUGAGUAACGCGUAUGCAACCUGCCCUUCACAGGGGGAUAACCGGGAGAAAUUCCGACUAAUACCGCAUACGUCCUUUGGGGGCAUCCCCGGGGGAUGAAAGAAUUAUCGGUGAAGGAUGGGCAUGCGUGAUAUUAGGUAGUUGGCGGGGCAACGGCCCACCAAGCCCACGAUAUCUAGGGGUUCUGAGAGGAAGGUCCCCCACAUUGGUACUGAGACACGGACCAAACUCCUACGGGAGGCAGCAGUGAGGAAUAUUGGUCAAUGGACGAGAGUCUGAACCAGCCAAGUCGCGUGAAGGAAGACGGAUCUAUGGUUUGUAAACUUCUUUAGUGCGGGAACAAAGCGGCGUCGAGACGCCUGAUGAGUGUACCGCAAGAAUAAGCAUCGGCUAACUCCGUGCCAGCAGCCGCGGUAAUACGGAGGAUGCGAGCGUUAUCCGGAUUUAUUGGGUUUAAAGGGAGCGCAGGCUGCGAGGCAAGUCAGCGGUCAAAUGUCGGGGCUCAACCCCGGCCUGCCGUUGAAACUGUCCUGCUAGAGUUCGAGUGAGGUAUGCGGAAUGCGUUGUGUAGCGGUGAAAUGCAUAGAUAUGACGCAGAACUCCGAUUGCGAAGGCAGCAUACCAACUCGCGACUGACGCUGAGGCUCGAAAGCGUGGGUAUCGAACAGGAUUAGAUACCCUGGUAGUCCACGCAGUAAACGAUGAAUACUAACUGUUCGGAGGGCGACCUCUGAGUGGUAAAGCGAAAGCGUUAAGUAUUCCACCUGGGGAGUACGCCGGCAACGGUGCAACUCAAAUGAAUUGACGG
rnacentral:rRNA from 1 species